GAACUCUAGUUUCUUUUCAAAUUGCAUAAAUGCUUCUACUUUUACUAAAGAUUUCCAUGGAGAGGAACAAUUCUGAGUCUUUUUUUUUUUUUUUUUUGAGACGGAGUUUCG